GCAAGAGCAGUUAAGGUGAGAUAAACAAUUGACGAUGGAACGGGGUGACUCCCGGUUUGUUGACGAGGUUGGGAAGCGGGGUUCUGAUUCUAAGAGGGAGAAAAGCCAGAGAACGUGGACAGCUGGUAAGAAGACUGAAGACUGGGAGUGAAGUUGGCUGUUGGACAGGUGCCUUUGAAGGUGGUUCUGUCUAGUCCCCAGUUCUGUCCUCUGCCCUGCUUCCUGCCCACUACGAGGUGAAGAGUCCCCUCCAGUGUUCUGGUGGCCAUGAUGUCUGCCUCCCUACGAACCCAGAAUCAACAGAACCAAAGACCGUGGAUGGAGACCUCAGUGUGAACCAAGAUAAAUCACAUCGCUGAAAACAGAACUAAUCCAAUAAGAUAACAGUCUGUUGAGACAACAGAGAUUCAAGGGUUCGCACACGCAUGAGGAGAGUUGAGUUAACACAUCGGGAUUAUGACGUAAACCACGAGGUGUGUGGACGGUCCCGGGCAAGUGUUAUUUCCGUGCUGCUGAUUUCUCCUUCGAAGGCUUGCGGUUGAGCUGCUGCUUCGGGCUUGCUCAGGCAAGAGGAUCUGAAGAAUGCCUAGUUGAUGGAAAUUCAUCCCGCUCAAGGGUACUUAACGAUGCUCUUGAAGCAUUGGCGCUAGAAACCAGUAAGGGUUUUGUCCUUGCUAUUGUUGAUAUUUUGGUUAAUGUAUUAGAGACAGUCUCACCAUAGAGUCCAAAACCCUUUGGGACAAGAACUGCAUCUGGUGACUCCUUCCAUUCCCCAACACCACAUGGCAUUGGACUUUGCACACCGAGUUCGGCAGAUAACACGUUAAAUAAAUGACCCAUUAGACAUCACGUCUCUGCCUGCUAUUU
rnacentral:lncRNA from 1 species